rnacentral:rRNA from 1 species
GAACGAACGCUGGCGGCGCGUCUUAAGCAUGGCAAGUCGGACGGCAAGGCGGGAGCUUGCUCCUGCCUAGAGUGGCGGACUGGUGAGUAACACGUGGGUGACAGUACCCGUGGGGUUGGGGAUAGCCGGUAGAAAUACCGGGUAAUACCGAAUACGAAUACACAGGUUAGAGUGGUGUAAGGAAAGGAGCUGCGGCUCCGCCCUGGGAUUGGCCCGCGGCCCAUUAGCUAGUUGGAGUGGUAAAGGCACACCAAGGCGAUGAUGGGUAUCCGGCCUGAGAGGGUGAUCGGACACAUUGGGACUGAGAUACGGCCCAGACUCCUACGGGAGGCAGCAGCUAAGAAUAUUCCGCAAUGGACGAAAGUCUGACGGAGCGACGCCGCGUGGAUGAGGAAGGCCGGAAGGUUGUAAAAUCCUUUUGGGACUGAAGAAUAAGCAGUGUAGGGAAUGACAUUGUGGUGACGGUAGGUCCUGAAUAAGCAACGGCUAAUUACGUG